rnacentral:lncRNA from 1 species
CAAAGAGAGGCUGUUGAUAUUGGUCACAGGGGAUGGGCCAUUACCAUUGUGACGUCGGCGCCCAUGGCUACUCUCCCUUUUCGAAACGUUUUGAAAGACAAUGCAACCGUCCCCAUGGAAUCUUAUUGGAGCUCUAGUUGAAAAACGCCCAAAAGAUUUAUGUUAUACAACGUUUGACAUGUUUGAACGAACUUAAAUAUAUAUUUUUUGCUCAUUCCUGACGACAAGUCCGACGCACACGGUACAUUUUCAGUAGCCUUAGAGCGCGCUAACACUAUUGGGACAUAAAUUAUUAACUUUUUCGAACAAAACUACAUUUGUUAUGGACCUUGUAUUCCUAGAAGUGCCUUCUGAUAAAGAUAAUCAAAGAGCUUCAUUUUAUCUACACCAUUUCCUUCGCCUCUCCAACCCUUCUCUCCUUUUUCUGGGCUGUGACGUGAGAGAAAAGCCAACCAACUGACUCAUCA